UUUCCGUAGGUGAACCUGCGGAAGGAUCAUUAAAGUUAUAGUCCCCCGGCCCCCCCGGGCUGGGGUCUUCUAUACCACCCUUUGUUUAUUACACCUUCGUUGCUUUGGCAGGCCUGCCCUCGGGCUGCUGGCUCCGGCCGGCUCGUGCCUGCCAGAGGACCUAAACUCUGUUUGUAUAUGAAGUCUGAGUACUAUAUAAUAGUUAAAACUUUCAACAACGGAUCUCUUGGUUCUG
rnacentral:misc_RNA from 1 species